rnacentral:rRNA from 1 species
ACGGGUGAGUAACGCGUGGGAAUCUACCGUACCCUACGGAAUAACGCAUGGAAACGUGUGCUAAUACCGUAUACGCCCUACGGGGGAAAGAUUUAUCGGGGUAUGAUGAGCCCGCGUUGGAUUAGCUAGUUGGUGGGGUAAAGGCCUACCAAGGCGACGAUCCAUAGCUGGUCUGAGAGGAUGAUCGGCCACAUUGGGACUGAGACACGGCCCAAACUUCAACGGGAGGCAGCAGUGGGGAAUAUUGGACAAUGGGCGCAAGCCUGAUCCAGCCAUGCCGCGUGAGUGAUGAAGGUCUUAGGAUUGUAAAGCUCUUUCACCGGAGAAGAUAAUGACGGUAUCCGGAGAAGAAGCCCCGGCUAACUUCGUGCCAGCAGCCGCGGUAAUACGAAGGGGGCUAGCGUUGUUCGGAAUUACUGGGCGUAAAGCGCACGUAGGCGGAUAUUUAAGUCAGGGGUGAAAUCCCAGAGCUCAACUCUGGAACUGCCUUUGAUACUGGGUAUCUAGAGUAUGGAAGAGGUGAGUGGAAUUCCGAGUGUAGAGGUGAAAUUCGUAGAUAUUCGGAGGAACACCAGUGGCGAAGGCGGCUCACUGGUCCAUUACUGACGCUGAGGUGCGAAAGCGUGGGGAGCAAACAGGAUUAGAUACCC